rnacentral:rRNA from 1 species
AUGCUCGCUCUUUUGCUAUGCCUAUGUUGCGAUACCUACCACUUGUUUAUCAUGCCUCCCAUAUUGUUAAGCCAAGCCUCUAACCACCUUGUCCUAGCAAACCGUUGCUUGGCUAUGUUACCGCUUUGCUCAGCCCCUCUUAUAGCGUUGUUAGUUGCAGGUGAAGAUUGGAGUUUCUUCCUUGUUGGAACAUGGAUAUUUUUGUUGGGAUAUCACAAUAUCUCUUAUUUAAUUAAUGCAUCUAUAUACUUGGUAAAGGGUGGAAGGCUCGGCCUUAUGCCUGGUGUUUUGUUCCACUCUUGCUGCCCUAGUUUCCGUCAUAUUGGUGUUAUGUUCCCGGAUUUUGCGUUCCUUACAUGGUUGGGUUAUAAUGGGAACCCCUUGACAGUUUGCCUUGAAUAA